CCUUACCUGACUGAUAACGUAUAUUAAAUGAAACCAAUGCAGUGCAUGUCACCUUGCACAAUAACUAUCUAUUUUUGUUUGCAAAUGGCGUACGAGACAACAUUAUAAUUUGAAAAAAAGAAAGGAAAUAUCAUAGACAGUACUCAAUCUAACCACCUUAGACAUUAUAUUCACCGCAGAUUAAAGAUGGCCAGCCAAGCACAAGGCACUAAUGCACAGAUACCAACAAUUAAUAUCGACAAAGUAAAAUUGGCCUUUGUCAAGAAAUUAAAACUUGGUUCACGAUUAAAAGAAGGAAAUGUCACUGGUAUUUGCCAACUACCAGAUAAGACAGUAGUGCUGUCGAGUUGUGAUAUGGAAAACAACCAGGGAAGAUUAUAUUCCAUUGAGCCUGACGGCACAAUAUUAUCAUCAAAAUGUGAAAAAGCACCAUUUGGAAUAACCUUUUUUAAUGAAGAAUUGCUUGUUUCAUAUCCAAAAACACAAGAAAUCGGGAUGGUAGACAUCGAUGAUUUAGAAAUGUAUCAAACCUUUGCUAAAGGAUAUGAAUUUCGAGGAGUAUCAACAAACGGAACUGACAUAGUUUCAAUUUCAAAAGGAAAGGGAAUAAGUUUUAUGAAUAAAUCGGGUUAUAUCUAUAAAGAAUUUCCUCUUAAAUCAACAAACGGAAAGACUUUCAUUCAUUUUGAUAAGGAAUAUAUCUACUUUACUGACACAAAAGAACCAUGGAUAAAAUGUAUGAAUACCAUUGGAAAGAGGGUCUGGCUUUGUGAUUUGAUAGAUGAAGCACCUAAAGGAUUGUGUACCGACAUGUACGGUAAUGUAUUUGUUGCAGAUAGAGAAAACGAUGAUAUUCUCAUCGUUGCGGCCGAUGGAUCAAAAUAUCGCUCUCAUAGUGUAGAUGAAGUAGACGAACCUACUGCAUUAUGCUUUGAUAAGGAAAAUUGUCAGUUGAUUGUGGCAGACAAAUCUAGAAGUCCUUGCAUUUACCACGUUACGUAUAGAUGACUAUCAUGUACAUUAACAGUAACUCAAGUAGGUUCGCAAUGUCAAGUCAUUAUAAUCCAGACCCACAUGACUACAAGGUCAUAAUAAAUAUUCACUUUUUUUUGUCAUUCAUUUAAAAAAAAAAAUGAUAUUUUUAAAGAGGAUGAUUGUGCUAAUAAGCAAUUUCAUGUUGAUGUUGAUGUUUUUGUAGAAGUGAAGUAUUGUAACAUGUUGAAAAUAAUUGUUGAUCCAUAGUUAUUUUGACCGUUUUUAUUUCACAUGUCUCAAGGAAUAAAAUAAUUUCAAAUAAA